GUUCAGAUUGCAGGCUGCAACUCGCCUGCAUGAAGUCGGAAUUGCUAGUAAUCGCAGAUCAGCAUGCUGCGGUGAAUACGUUCCCGGGCCUUGUACACACCGCCCGUCACACCAUGAGAGUCGGGAACACCCGAAGUCCGUAGCCUAACCGCAAGGGGGGCGCGGCCGAAGGUGGGUUCGGAUAAUUGGGGUGAAGUCGUAACAAGGUAAC
rnacentral:rRNA from 1 species